UAACUGUCCAGUGUUUCAGGUCUCUAUGUAGUGGAGGAGGACUAACUGUCCAGUGUUUCAGGUCUAGUGGAGGGGGACUAACUGUCCAGUGUUUCAGGUCUCUAUGUAGUGGAGGAGGACUAACUGUCCAGUGUUUCAGGUCUCUAUGUAGUGGAGGAGGACUAACUGUCCAGUGUUUCAGGUCUCUAUGUAGUGGAGGAGGACUAACUGUCCAGUGUUUCAGGUCUCUAUGUAGUGGAGGGGGACUAACUGUCCAGUGUUUCAGGUCUCUAUGUAGUGGAGGGGGACUAACUGUCCAGUGUUUCAGGUCUCUAUGUAGUGGAGGAGGACUAACUGUCCAGUGUUUCAGGUCUCUAUGUAGUGGAGGGGGACUAACUGUCCAGUGUUUCAGGUCUCUAUGUAGUGGAGGAGGACUAACUGUCCAGUGUUUCAGGUCUCUAUGUAGUGGAGGGGGACUAACUGUCCAGUGUUUCAGGUCUCUAUGUAGUGGAGGAGGACUAACUGUCCAGUGUUUCAGGUCUCUAUGUAGUGGAGGAGGACUAACUGUCCAGUGUUUCAGGUCUCUAUGUAGUGGAGGGGGACUAACUGUCCAGUGUUUCAGGUCUCUAUGUAGUGGAGGAGGACUAACUGUCCAGUGUUUCAGGUCUCUAUGUAGUGGAGGGGGACUAACUGUCCAGUGUUUCAGGUCUCUAUGUAGUGGAGGAGGACUAACUGUCCAGUGUUUCAGGUCUCUAUGUAGUGGAGG